rnacentral:rRNA from 1 species
AUUGAACGCUGGCGGCAGGCCUAACACAUGCAAGUCGAGCGAGCGGCGGACGGGUGAGUAAUGUCUGGGAAACUGCCUGAUGGAGGGGGAUAACUACUGGAAACGGUAGCUAAUACCGCAUACCAUCAGAUGUGCCCAGAUGGGAUUAGCUGGUAGGUGGGGUAACGGAGCACCUAGGCGACGAUCCCUAGCUGGUCUGAGAGGAUGAACAGCCACACUGGAACUGAGACACGGUCCAGACUCCUACGGGAGGCAGGAGGGGGGAAUAUUGCACAAUGGGCGAAAGCCGGAUGAAGCCAUGCCGCGUGGGUGAAGAAGGCCUUCGGGUUGUAAAGCACUUUCAGCGGUGAGGCGUUACCCGCAGAAGAAGCACCGGCUAACUCCGUGCCAGCAGCCGCGGUAAUAC